rnacentral:rRNA from 1 species
CCAAUAGCGUAUAUUAAAGUUGUUGCAGUUAAAAAGCUCGUAGUUGAACUUCGGGAUCAAUGAAUUGGUCAUGCCGUUGGUAUGUACUGAUUUUAUUGGUUCUCACCUUCUAAAGAACCAUAAUGUCAUUCAUUUGAUGUUAUGGGGAAUUAGGACUGUUACCUUGAAAAAAUUAGAGUGUUUAAAGCAGGCUCGCGCUUGAAUACAUUAGCAUGGAAUAAUGAAAUAGGACGUUUGAUUCUAUUUUGUUGGUUUCUAGGAUCGACGUAAUGAUUAAUAGGGAUAGUUGGGGGCAUUAGUAUUCAAUUGUCAGAGGUGAAAUUCUUGGAUUUAUUGAAGACUAACUACUGCGAAAGCAUUUGCCAAGGAUGUUUUCAUUAAUCAAGAACGAAAGUUAGGGGAUCGAAGACGAUCAGAUACCGUCGUAGUCUUAACCAUAAACUAUGCCGACUAGGGAUCGGAUGAUGUUAAUUUUUUAAUGACUCAUUCGGCGCCUUACG